GUUCAUGCUGCCAGUUAUUCUUGGAGCUGAUUCUUAGAGCCAGGAGCCAGGACGACUCACCUGACUGCAGUCUUACACACACACACACACACACACACACACACACACACACACACAUACACAAACUCCAUCUGCAGACAUACAAGAUACAGACACAGACAGAUAUAUGCACAGAUAGGUAUACACCACAGACAUACAAACUACGGACGAUGGACAUCACCCAUUGGUUUGUGGACUGACGUUUUGAAGUCUGGAGUUUGGUAUUUAAGCCGUUGCCAUCUUGUUUUUUUGGAACCAGACGAGACGUGACGUGACCAUAUUUGGACGAGAGGGUGGCGCUAGCUAGCUUGUGUUCUCCCUGCUGAGGCAUGGUGGAUACGUUUUGAAAGCCACGUCAUCAGUCGCCAUGGAGUCUCCUUUCACUGCUAUGCUGAUGACACACAACUGUACAUGAAAUUGGACACACACCACUGCAGCUUCAUCACCAUCAUCAUCUUCUUCAACACUCACCGCCUGUCUGGAGGAGAUGAGAGGUGCGGAUGAAACACAACUUCCUCCAGUUGAACAGCUCCAAAACUGAGGCAAUUCUUGUUGGCACCUCAACUCAAGUCCAGUCAUCCUUCAUAACCGGUAUAACUAUCUCUGGUCAAGACAUUCCCCUCUCCACAACAGUCAUCAAUCUUGGUGUAAGAUUUGACCAGCAACUCACCUUUGAAGUCCAUAUCAAAAACCUCUGCAAGACUUCUUUCUACCAUCUCAGAUAUAUUGCAAAACUUUGCUCCACACUUACCUUAGCUGAUGUAGAAAUACCGGUCCACGCCUUUGUCUCCUCCAGAUUGGAUUACUGUAACGAAAAUCUGGAUUCCCGUUUCUGCUGAAGGUCUCCCUUCUCACCCACCAUCUAUGGAAAUGAAUUAUUAAUAAAAUAAAAUAUAAAAUGUAUUAUUAUUAUUAUGAACGAUGUGUACAACAUGCACAACUAGUUCUCUGAAGGAAAACAGGGUACGUGUGGAAAGUGUUUCAACUCUAACCUGUUUUAAAAUCCUCUGUUUAUGAUUACAAAUCAUCAUUUACAUCCAUACAGAGAGAAGAAAAUCCGUUUUGUAGUGUAUGAAAGAUCUGAUCAUGGGGUUUGUUGCACAGUUGUAGCUAAAAGGUAAGAAGGUUGGAUUUCUUUUCUGGAUAUUAUUAUGUAUAUUCCAUGUACUGAAUGUGUGCUACUAUGAUGCUGGCACAGUGUACUGUAAGCCCAUUUCUUCUCAUCAAGGCAGCAAAAUACUGUUGUUUUUACCAACCAUAAGGAGAAUAGACGUGACAAAUACUGAUUGUGGAAGCAAUUAACACCUUGUUUAAACCAUGUCAAGGUGAGAAAAUAAAACAUUCUUAUUCUCGUU